CGGGAAGAGGGCUCAAAUCUCCUUUCUGUGCCAUUUCUGCAGCCGGAUCCAGCUGCACUGGGAGCUAACUACCUCUGAUUUGUUUACAAGGUCAGACCAAGACAUAGGAAUUAAAAGGCUCUGCAAAGAUUCACUGAGCAAAGGAGGUGUCGACUGCAGAGCUGGCCUAAUGAGGACACUGCUGCGGCCGCUACCACUGCCAGCUGGUGCCACAUUCGUGUCCCCGCCAGGAACCUGAUCAUCUCUACCACUGUUGCCUUCAGGGUGGACGCCACAUCUGGCCCGGCAAUGCCACCCUGUCAUCCUGCAACCCUUCUGCCACCCGCUUUCAUCUUAGCUACAAAGGAGCCAGAAAAGUGGCUGCUCUUGCUUCCAUCGUGGGAAGGCAGAAUUCAUAGUGUGUGGACAGUUGAUGUCCUGGCCCCUUCGCCUCUGAAUUUCAAGACUCAGUUAACCAACUACCCAGAGUACAUCUGCUCUAAAGUUGUCUGAAGAAAAAUGCUGGCCGCACAUCAUUCACCUAGAAGGAAUUUAAGAGAAGGUAUCCAAAGGAGUCCCAACAUAGACCUUAAUCAGCUAAUGUCAUCGCUUUAAAAACCACUUUCUGCCCGGUGUUCCCAGCAAGAUCCGGUUUGUAUAGAGCCUGGCUUGGAGUCUGGCCUGCUGGAUACCUAAUACAGGUUUCCAAAAAUAAAGCUGACAUUUGUUGAAUACCAUGUGGUGUGUCAGGCAUUGUACAGGGGCUUUGCAUAAAUUAUCCAAGUAAUCCUUGUGAAAACACCAGGAAAUAGGAGUUGUUAUUACCUCUAUUUUACAGUCGAGAAAACUCGAGCUAAAGAGGAUAACACAGACACCUGCAGCGAUGCUUACUCCGUGGAUAGCUGAACUGGCAUUUGAACCGGAAGUCUGACCUCAAGGCCAUGUUGCUAAGCAACCUCUCCAGGAUCUGAUUCUAGAAAAAUAUUUGAAUCCCCACGCGUGAGGUUUGAAUUCACCUUUGCUCUCUAGGGUUCAGUCUAAAUCAAAGUUAGAACACGCCCUGCCAUGUAGGGAUAUCUGUUAGUUCUCACACACAAACACUCUGAGAGGACACGGUGGCCGCCCCUCUCUGGGUUACAUGGCUCACUAUCCUUGCAUGCUUCUGUCUGCAGCUCCUAACUUCUGAGCAAAAGAUGACCCAUGUGCCAAGGGGCCAAGACUCAUGGCCAGAUUUUUCACCCUCUGUGGAAAAAUGCUCAAGUGAGGGGCAGAAUCUGUCUGAGGCCGGAAGAGAAGAAAGAUUCUGGAAGAUUAACAGAGAGAGGGGUUGUGGGUGUGUGAUUCAGCUUUAACUCCCUCUAACACAUACAUGACUGAGAAUCACCUUACAGAAAGGGAAGAUUUAUUUUGACUAUAGGAGUUUGGAGGUGCUGGUCUGUGACUGGUGAGUACUCUGCUGUUAGUGCCCGUGGUGAGGCAGCAUCUGAGGGUGGGAGUUGGCAGCAGAGAAAAAUUGCUCAACCACUGGCCACGGUAAGAAAAAAAGAGGAAGAGGACCAACUGGAUCCUUGCCCACCCUCCGCCCACAGGACAAAGCUUCCUGAUGAUCGAAGACCUAUCAUUUGGUCCCAC